AAGUUCCUGAUUCCACACUGCCAAGAAAAGCCUCUAGCGAGGUGAGAGGUGCCCGUACCGCAAACCGACACAGGUAGGCGAGGAGAGAAUCCUAAGGUGAUCGAGAGAACUCUCGUUAAGGAACUCGGCAAAAUGACCCCGUAACUUCGGGAGAAGGGGUGCUCUGUUAGGGUGCAAGCCCGAGAGAGCCGCAGUGAAUAGGCCCAGGCGACUGUUUAGCAAAAACACAGGUCUCUGCGAAGCCGUAAGGCGAAGUAUAGGGGCUGACGCCUGCCCGGUGCUGGAAGGUUAAGAGGAGCGCUUAGCGUAAGCGAAGGUGCGAAUUGAAGCCCCAGUAAACGGCGGCCGUAACUAUAACGGUCCUAAGGUAGCGAAAUUCCUUGUCGGGUAAGUUCCGACCCGCACGAAAGGCGCAACGAUCUGGGCACUGUCUCAACGAGAGACUCGGUGAAAUUAUAGUACCUGUGAAGAUGCAGGUUACCCGCGACAGGACGGAAAGACCCCGUGGAGCUUUACUGCAGCCUGAUAUUGAAUGUUGGUACAGCUUGUACAGGAUAGGUAGGAGCCUUGGAAACCGGAGCGCCAGCUUCGGUGGAGGCAUCGGUGGGAUACUACCCUGGCUGUAUUGACCUUCUAACCCGCCGCCCUUAUCGGGCGGGGAGACAGUGUCAGGUGGGCAGUUUGACUGGGGCGGUCGCCUCCUAAAGAGUAACGGAGGCGCCCAAAGGUUCCCUCAGAAUGGUUGGAAAUCAUUCGCAGAGUGUAAAGGCACAAGGGAGCUUGACUGCGAGACCUACAAGUCGAGCAGGGACGAAAGUCGGGCUUAGUGAUCCGGUGGUUCCGCAUGGAAGGGCCAUCGCUCAACGGAUAAAAGCUACCCCGGGGAUAACAGGCUUAUCUCCCCCAAGAGUCCACAUCGACGGGGAGGUUUGGCACCUCGAUGUCGGCUCAUCGCAUCCUGGGGCUGUAGUCGGUCCCAAGGGUUGGGCUGUUCGCCCAUUAAAGCGGUACGCGAGCUGGGUUCAGAACGUCGUGAGACAGUUCGGUCCCUAUCCGUCGCGGGCGCAGGAAAUUUGAGAGGAGCUGUCCUUAGUACGAGAGGACCGGGAUGGACGCACCGCUGGUGUACCAGUUGUUCUGCCAAGGGCAU
rnacentral:rRNA from 1 species